rnacentral:lncRNA from 1 species
GGAAAUUCCUGCAUGUCACUGCCAACUAUAAAAUCCACCAUACAAAACAAUAUUUAAAAUAUUCAGAAUGUACUUAUUCAAGAAGAGAUACAUGAAUGAGUCAAGAGACAUGUAAUUUACUGAUUAAUGGCUAUAAAUUUAGGAAAGAAAGGUAAGAGCAGUCCAUGUGUUAUUUGCUUAUCUACUGUUAUGUCAGCACAUUGUCUUGUAUUUGCAUCUGUUUUGCUAAAUUUGUAGCUAAAUUAAAUAGAAAGGAUUUUCUUAUUCACCAUGUAUACCUGAGCUGUGAGCUGUAACCAAAUAAAAAUUAUCUGUAUUUUCUAUGUUUCUGAGUAGAAAUGAUAAAGAUAUUAAUUGCA